rnacentral:rRNA from 1 species
CGAGCGGACAGAAGGGAGCUUGCUCCCGGAAGUUAGCGGCGGACGGGUGAGUAACACGUAGGUAACCUGCCCCUUAGACUGGGAUAACUCCGGGAAACCGGAGCUAAUACGGGAUAAUAAAGAGAAUCGCCUGAUUUUCUUUUGAAAGACGGUUUCGGCUGUCACUAAGGGAUGGACCUGCGGCGCAUUAGCUAGUUGGUAAGGUAACGGCUUACCAAGGCGACGAUGCGUAGCCGACCUGAGAGGGUGAUCGGCCACGCUGGGACUGAGACACGGCCCAGACUCCUACGGGAGGCAGCAGUAGGGAAUCUUCCGCAAUGGACUAAAGUCUGACGGAGCAACGCCGCGUGAGUGAGGAAGGCCUUCGGGUCGUAAAGCUCUGUUGUGAGGGAAGAACAAGUGCCGGGGUAACUACCGGCACCUUGACGGUACCUCACCAGAAAGCCACGGCUAACUACGUGCCAGCAGCCGCGGUAAUACGUAGGUGGCAAGCGUUGUCCGGAAUUAUUGGGCGUAAAGCGCGCGCAGGCGGCUUCUUAAGUCUGAUGUGAAAUCUCGGGGCUCAACCCCGAGCGGCCAUUGGAAACUGGGGAGCUUGAGUGCAGAAGAGGAGAGUGGAAUUCCACGUGUAGCGGUGAAAUGCGUAGAUAUGUGGAGGAACACCAGUGGCGAAGGCGACUCUCUGGUCUGUAACUGACGCUGAGGCGCGAAAGCGUGGGGAGCAAACAGGAUUAGAUACCCUGGUAGUCCACGCCGUAAACGAUGAGUGCUAGG